rnacentral:rRNA from 1 species
UACGAAGGGGGCGAGCGUUGUUCGGAAUUACUGGGCGUAAAGCGCGUGUAGGCGGCUCUUCAAGUCAGGCGUGAAAGCCCCGAGCUCAACUCGGGAACUGCGUUUGAUACUGUCGAGCUAGAGUGUGGAAGAGGCAAUCGGAAUUCCGUGUGUAGCGGUGAAAUGCGUAGAUAUACGGAGGAACACCAGAGGCGAAGGCGGAUUGCUGGGCCAACACUGACGCUGAGACGCGAAAGCUAGGGUAGCAAACGGGAUUAGAAA